AAUAGAUUUGGUCCUAAUCUUUAUAUUAAUUACAACUAUAUUUAUACAUGCAAACUUCAUCGCUACAGUGAGAAUGCCCUUUAUUUUCUAAUUAAAAGUAAAGGAGCAGGUAUCAGGCACCAAAAGCCCAUGACACCUUGUUUAGCCACACCUUCACAGGAAUUCAGCAGUAAUAAACAUUAAACAAUGAGCGAAAAGCUCGAUUUAGCAAUAAUUGAUUAGAGUUGGUAAAUCUCGUGCCAGCCACCGCGGUUAUACGAGAAACUCAUAUUAAUAUCUACGGCCUAAAGGGUAGUUUUAGAUCUAAUAAAAUAGAAUUUAAAAUUUAUUUAAUAGUUAUAUAUAAUUAUAAAAUGUAAAUCCAAAAACGAAAGUUAUACUAUAUAAUCUUGAAUCUACUAUAGCUGAGAAACAAACUGGGAUUAGAUACCCCACUAUGCUCAACCUUAAAAUGGAUAUUCCCGCCAGAGCAUUACGAGCUACAGCUUAAAACUCAAAGGACUUGGCGGUGCUCUAUACCCACCUAGAGGAGCCUGUUCUAUAAUCGACACUCCCCGAUAAACCUCACCAUUUCUCGCUACUACAGCCUAUAUACCACCGCCCUCAGUUCAUCUUUUAAAAGAAUAAUAAUGAACAAAAUGAUUAAAAAUAAAAAAGUCAGGUCAAGGUGUAGCAAAUGAAAUGGAAAGAAAUGGGCUACAUUUUUUAAUAAUAAAAAACGGAAUAUUAUAUGAAAUAAAAUAUAAAGAAGGAUUUAGAAGUAAAAAGAAAAAAGAGUGUUCUUUUUAAAUUGGCAAUAGAGCACGCACACACCGCCCGUCACCCUUUUCAAAAUAUAUAAAACUUAAAUAAAUAUAUAAACUUACAAGAAAAGGUAAGUCGUAACAUGGUAAGUCUACCGGAAGGUGGCCUUAGAUAU
rnacentral:ncRNA from 1 species